GGUCCAGUAGUGUAGCGGUUAUCACCCGGGAUUCUGAUUCCCGUAACCCAGGUUCGAUUCCUGGCUGGACCU
rnacentral:tRNA from 1 species